rnacentral:rRNA from 1 species
UACGGAAGGCAGCAGUGGAGAAUAUUGCACAAUGGGCGCAAGCCUGAUGCAGCCAUGCCGCGUGUAUGAAGAAGGCCUUCGGGUUGUAAAGUACUUUCAGUCGUGAGGAAGGUGUUAAGGUUAAUAACCUUAGCAAUUGACGUUAGCGACAGAAGAAGCACCGGCUAACUCCGUGCCAGCAGCCGCGGUAAUACGGAGGGUGCGAGCGUUAAUCGGAAUUACUGGGCGUAAAGGGCACGCAGGCGGUUAAUUAAGUUGGAUGUGAAAUCCCCGGGCUUAACCUGGGAAUGGCAUUCAAGACUGGUUAGCUAGAGUCUUGUAGAGGGGGUUAGAAUUCCAUGUGUAGCGGUGAAAUGCGUAGAGAUGUGGAGGAAUACCGGUGGCGAAGGCGGGCCCCUGGGACAAAGACUGACGCUCAUGUGCGAAAGCGUGGGGAGCAAACAGGAUUAGAUACC